AGAGUAGGCGCAGGUGGUUGCGGAGUGCAAACUCUGAGGAAAGUCCGGGCUCCCGAAAGACCAAACUUGCUGGGUAACGCCCAGUGCGAGCGAUCGCGAGGAUAGUGCCACAGAAACAUACCGCCUACUUCAGUGUUGAGUACAUUCUCUCACUGAAUUGGUAAGGGUGCAAAGGUGCGGUAAGAGCGCACCAGCAGCGUCGAGAGGCGCUGGCUCGGUAAACCCCGGUUGGGAGCAAGGUCGAAGGAACUACGGUUGGUCUUUUACCAGUUCCGCUUAUACAGAACCGCUAGAGGCGUCUGGUAACAGACGUCCCAGAUAGAUAACCACCCUCUAAGCUGUACAUCAGUUAGGAGAACAGAACCCGGCUUAUGUCCGACUCUCUCC
rnacentral:RNase_P_RNA from 1 species